UGCUAUAAUGGUUCACUCUAUCCUCCUUUAUCACUGAGCGGUCAUUUAGGGGCCUUAGCCGGUGAUCCAGACUGUUUCCCUAACUAUAAUAGAGUGAAAUAUAGAGGAAUAUUGUUUUUUACUCCAAAUAUAGAGUAAAAAAUCAACAUUCAUCUAUAUUUCCCUCUAUUAUAGUGUAACUCUAUUAUAGAGUGAACCAUUAGAGCAAAUCCAACUUUAUAAUAUAGUUACUCUAUUUUAGUGUAAAAUAUAGAGAAAAUAAUAGUGUUACAUUGGAGAUGGUGCUACGUUUGUUGCUUUGCGGAUAAUAUAUGAGGUUAUACAUAGAUGUAACUUAUAUACGUAUAAAAGGAAAAAUAUAUUUUUUUCAUUAAAUAUUUGUCAAUUUAUCUGUAUUAAUUACAAAGCUAAUAUACUAAUCAAACAAAUAAAUCUAUAAUAUAAUGAGGCAGUUGUCUCGUUUCUGAACCGCCACGUCAACAGGUAAGUGGGUCCCACAGCUUUUUAAUAAAAAAAAAAUUCUUUUUGGGCUGGCGUUAGUUAAAGAAAAUACAAAUACUGAUUUGGAUGGGCCUUGGACACUUAAUUUGUUUUUGGCCCAGUAUACAUCAUCUUCUUGAAACCUGUUCGUCGAUUGAAUUUAAGGUUUGACUGAUUCAUAGAGAGAAGCGAAGAUUGUUUGUUUCUGAUUCCAUGAAUCGUUUUAUAAUUAUUUACCUCUACGUCUCCCAUAUUUACUCCAUCAAUCAAUGCCAGACCACAUUCGUUACACCUCCUCCAUUCCGCCUUAUAUAUAUGUUAUCUUACGAGAGGAACCCUACGGCCCUCAUGCUCUCAACAAUUCUUCAUCCAAUAAAACUGUAUUACACCUUCUUGAAAAUGAUUUCAUCCGCUGCUCCAGUUGCCAGAGCCGCCGUAUGCCACUCAACUUUCGGUUCUCUCCAUUUUCGGGAUUCUCGGAACAUCAAAAAAUGGCGAGUUCAUGGGAAUCAGCUUCUCUUCCUUGAUGACACGGUUAAGACUUCUUCGAUCAAUUGCAACCUCUCUUCCCGAUCUGUUUAUAAUCGCCUAUCUAACUCUUCAUUUAAAUGUCUCAUCUGAUUGAAUAUGCAUAAUUCGGAGAUCCACGGCUUCAUCCCCGCUGGUCGUAGAUAUCAUGAAGGUUCAGUUCAUUAAUGUGUGGAACUGCGUUUUUAUUGUGUUUUGAGAUAACUGGGCGCAUCACAUACUACUAAGGUUGAAGGAAAAAAGGAGCGUGUAAUCACAUCCCUCAAAUCCGAGUAAGGAGGAUCUAGAGGCAUGGCUCAUCAAGGAGAAUAUAUAAACUCUGAAGGAAGAGUUAACAUAAACUGAUAUGAGAAACACUUAGUUAUACAAGGAACUUCAGUCUGCGGAGUCAACUUGCAGCGGAACAGUCGAGGUAUUUCAAAUUAGAGAGGUAAGACAAAAGAUUAAGACAAUGGAAACACUUGAAAAGAAAAUGGGAUUCAUCCACCGUCAGAGAGCCGUUGUGUCUGAACAAGCCGCCACCAAUAUGAAUGGCAAAAGACAAAGCUCUGGUAGCGUCUGAGGAUGACUUGCUGGAACUCUUCCGCCAAAAGCAUUAAUCCCCAAUGAAGUGAGUGGAAGUGGACAAAGCUACUCAAUAGAACUGAAGAGAUCAACAAGGCCUUUGCCAAUGAAGUCUCAUGGGACCCAUCUUCCACGUCUUCUACUCAAACACCAACACAUAGACCAAGUGAAAGAACAUAUGGUGCGAUCUAAACCGUUAAUUGUCUUUGCUUAAGGUUAUGUCUCAGGCAAUGUUAUGGCUUGCAGUUGGACUGUGGUAUUCAGGUUUUUUUUUUUUUUUUUUUUACAUUCAUGUUUAGUUUCUAGAAUGAGGAAAAACAAAAUUGUGAAAUUAAGAGUCAAGAAAGUAGAAAGCUUCACCUUGAGAUUGGUUUUACCUGCAGAUUCAUGUGUUAUGGUAGAUAACGACAAACAAAGUUUACUUUCGUUGCUUCGGUUACAAAAGAACAAGAGCGUGUUCACAAGUCGAUAAAGAUUGACACUUGAAAGAAAUUUUAUUUUUUUCAAAGAGUAGUUAGGAAUCUUUCUACUCUCUUCUCUUUCUCACUACGUAAAAAGUCUUGGACUUUGUCUCUGCAAACAUAGUUUUAUCUUUUUAUGUAUGUGUAUAACAAGUCAUUUGCAAAUGUAAAUAUUAUUUCUUUUCAAUUCUUUUUCAGGAUUUACUUUAAAAAAAAAAAUAAAGAGAUACACAUCAUACAUAAAUUUUUGUCGUAGUUGGUUCUUGCUUAAAAUAAGGAGUAAAUUGUUGCAUCUACAAUCAUAUGAUAUUUUUGAUCUCUAAGUCAUUUUGUAUGUCAUCUAAUCCACUAACGGUUUGUGCAUGUGCUAAUUGUAUUCAAUUUUUAAAAUACAAGAUUAUAUUAAUUUUUCUGCUUGAAACUUCUUUUAUUAAUAUUUUAAAAGGUAAUUAUUAUUACCUUGCUUUUUAUGAACGUAUGGCUCAAUGUUCGUACCAAGCUGUUUCGAACACUGGAGCCUGAGUGGAAAGGACACAGCCUAAUUCUAAAUUCUUAAAAUCUUAUACUCUUAAAAAGAAAAAUACGAGUAACCAGUGUUCUAAAUUGUUCAAUGAUAAAAAAAAAUGUUCAAUGAUGUGUUGGGCUGCGUAUCCUCCAACUUUUCUCAUAAAUACUGGGCUAAACUGUAUAAAAUUAUCUUUUCCUCUUAUAACCAUAUAAAGCUUCUUUUCAAACAAACAAAAAAAUAUGAGUUUAGGAUUAGACUCAAAUACGACUAAAUCUUAUAUAUUGCAAUGCUUUUGAUUUUCUAAAUUUAGGUUUAAAGUUCUGAGGUUUUCAAGGAUUUAUGGAUUGUUUUAGAAUCAGACCUGAGUAAAUCUAGAUAAGUAUUUUUAUCGUUAAUUACCAGUUGACAUUCUUAGAUAUUUUGAGCUUGAUGAUUAAGCUAAUCUGUAAUUUAAAGAGCACAAAAAAACUCAAAGUCCAA